GAUGAACGCUGGCGGCGUGCCUAAUACAUGCGAGUCGAGCGAACAGAUGAGGAGCUUGCUCCUCUGACGUUAGCGGCGGACGGGUGAGUAACACGUGGAUAACCUACCUAUAAGACUGGGAUAACUUCGGGAAACCGGAGCUAAUACCGGAUAAUAUAUUGAACCGCAUGGUUCAAUAGUGAAAGACGGUUUUGCUGUCACUUAUAGAUGGAUCCGCGCCGCAUUAGCUAGUUGGUAAGGUAACGGCUUACCAAGGCAACGAUGCGUAGCCGACCUGAGAGGGUGAUCGGCCACACGGGAACUGAGACACGGUCCAGACUCCUAAGGGAGGCAGCAGUAGGGAAUCUUCCGCAAUGGGCGAAAGCUUGACGGAGCAACGCCGCGUGAGUGAUGAAGGUCUUCGGAUCGUAAAACUCUGUUAUUAGGGAAGAACAAAUGUGUAAGUAACUAUGCACGUCUUGACGGUACCUAAUCAGAAAGCCACGGCUAACUACGUG
rnacentral:rRNA from 1 species